rnacentral:rRNA from 1 species
UAGGGAAUCUUCGGCAAUGGACGAAAGUCUGACCGAGCAACGCCGCGUGAGUGAAGAAGGUUUUCGGAUCGUAAAACUCUGUUGUUAGAGAAGAACAAGGACGUUAGUAACUGAACGUCCCCUGACGGUAUCUAACCAGAAAGCCACGGCUAACUACGUGCCAGCAGCCGCGGUAAUACGUAGGUGGCAAGCGUUGUCCGGAUUUAUUGGGCGUAAAGCGAGCGCAGGCGGUUUCUUAAGUCUGAUGUGAAAGCCCCCGGCUCAACCGGGGAGGGUCAUUGGAAACUGGGAGGCUUGAGUGCAGAAGAGGAGAGGGGAAUUCCAUGUGUAGCGGUGAAAUGCGUAGAUAUAUGGAGGAACACCAGUGGCGAAGGCGGCUCUCUGGUCUGUAACUGACGCUGAGGCUCGAAAGCGUGGGGAGCAAACAGG